GCGACCUCGAUGUUGAUUUAAAUUGCCGCGGUAUUUUGACCGUGCAAAGGUAGCAUAAUAAUNAGUUUUUUUAUUGGAAAGCUGGAAUGAAGGAUUGGACGAGAAAAAUACUGUCUCUAGAAAAUUUAUUAUUAAAAUUAACUUUUAAGUUAAAAGGCUUAAAUUUUACUUAAAGACGAGAAGACCCUAUAGAGUUUUAUACCUAUAAUUAUAAUGAGUACUUGGUUAUUUUAUUUUCUUGUCUGAUUAGGUAUUUGGUUGGGGUGACUUAAAGAUUAAAUAAACUCUUUAAAUUUAUAAUCAUUGAUUUGUGAAUUUAUAAUCUAGUUUUUUAAAGUUAAAAUAAAUUACCUUAGGGAUAACAGCGUAAUUUCUUUUUAGAGUUCUUAUUGAAAGAGAAGUUUGCGACCUCGAUNUUGAUUUAAAUUGCCGCGGUAU
rnacentral:rRNA from 1 species